CGGAGGUGGAUGGACAUGACGGCGGCGACGCAGCGGAAGAAUUCCUGAAUCAUCUCUGUGGAGUCUGUAUCAUUGGGAGGAACUAGGUCCUGCCACAGGUCCUGAACUCCUCACCUCUUCCUGAGAACUUCAUGAGCCUCCCAACACUGUUUCUUGACGAGGGAUUCAAACUCAGCAGGCAGCAGGGGCAGGUCUGACGCCAACAGUUCCUUCAGGUUGAUGAACCGCAGAUGGCUGAACCUUAGAAUAUAUAAAGAUGAUUAUAUGACAUGAAAACCACCGCUUGUACAGGAUGAUGUUGUACUUACUGGUCAAACCAGAUGUUCUGUAGAUCAUGCAUAAUGGAGUUUGU